UUCACUUUCGAUUUGAUGUUUAAUUCAAUGAGAAGCUUUAUACAUUGAGAGCAAAGAAUUUUAACAAUAUCGUUCGAAUGUAGGCUACAUUUGUGAAGGUUUUGCUCGUAUGGAAGGCGAAAGGGAGAAAUCUCCCAUUAAUGCCGAGCAACAAGAGGAGAAUAUCGAUUCUGUGUCCAGCGAUGGCCAAGGAACGUUUGGGCAGCCGUCGUUUUCGACAUCUGCGUUGAGUUCUAAACCUGUGAGUCCCGGGAAUCAGAUGGAUGAAAGAGCUUUAAGUGGUACGUACUAUAAAUUAGGAUUGAGGAAUAUCGUCAUUACAUAACUAACGCACAGGUCGACAUGAGCUUAUAAUUUGGAUUUCAGAUUUUCAGUUGUCUUGCCUGGGCAGAUGCUCUUUAUAGAAUAGCCAUUUGCAGAAUGCUCUUUAUAGAAUAGCCAUUUGCUUUAUAGAAUAGCCAGAAUAGCCAUUUGCAGAAUUCAGUAAAAUCGUUUGCGGAAAUCCUUUUCCCAUAAAUCUCAAUUCAAUUCACAUGGAAAUUAAGUUCUGAACAUAUUAAAUUUUACUGCAAAAUUGUUGGUUUUCACUCAC